CGGAGGAUCCAAGCGUUAUCCGGAAUCAUUGGGUUUAAAGGGUCCGUAGGCGGUUUUAUAAGUCAGUGGUGAAAUCUGGUCGCUCAACGAUCAAACGGCCAUUGAUACUGUAAGACUUGGAUUACUUGGAAGUAACUAGAAUAUGUAGUGUAGCGGUGAAAUGCUUAGAGAUUACAUGGAAUACCAAUUGCGAAGGCAGGUUACUACAAGUAUAUUGACGCUGAUGGACGAAAGCGUGGGGAGCGAACAGGAUUAGAUACCCUGGUAGUCCACGCCGUAAACGAUGGAUACUAGCUGUUUGGAGCAAUCUGAGUGGCUAAGCGAAAGUGAUAAGUAUCCCACCUGGGGAUACGCUCGCAAGAGUG
rnacentral:rRNA from 1 species